rnacentral:lncRNA from 1 species
AACUCAGAUUAGGGAGGAGAUCAAGAUGAUAAUAAAAGUACAACAUGUAACUUUUUCAUGAUUGAAGCAACUCUAAUUUCAAGGAGCACAAAGAAAUAAGAAAUGAUGACUCUAUCAUCUUGUGAGGCAUAGUAUAUUGUAACCGCUUAUGCAACAUCCCAAACAUUAUGGAUGGAAAUAUUGUUGGAAGAGUUAGAGUUUAGUGAAGUUGUGAAGAUCAA